rnacentral:tRNA from 1 species
GAGGAUUUAGCUCAGUGGUUGAGCGCUUGCCUAGCAAGGCCCUGAGUUCAAUCCUCA